rnacentral:rRNA from 1 species
AGAACGAACGCUGGCGGCAGGCCUCAAACAUGCAAGUCUAGGGGGUGUAGCAAUACAUCACCGGCGGACGGGUGCGUAACACGUGGGAAUAUACCUUUUGGUUCGGAACAACGCAGGGAAACUUGCGCUAAUACCGAAUGUGCCCUUACGGGGAAAGAUUUAUCGCCAAAGGAUUAGCCCGCGUAGGAUUAGCUAGUUGGUGAGGUAAUGGCUCACCAAGGCUCCGAUCCUUAGCUGUUCUGAGAGGAAGAUCAGCCACACUGGGACUGAGACACGGCCCAGACUCCUACGGGAGGCAGCAGUUGGGAAUCUUGGACAAUGGGGGAAACCCUGAUCCAGCCAUGCCGCGUGAGUGAUGAAGGCCUUCGGGUUGUAAAACUCUUUCGACGGGGACGAUAAUGACGGUACCCGUAGAAGAAGCUCCGGCUAACGUUCGUGCCAGCAGCCGC